rnacentral:rRNA from 1 species
AAGGGCUUCGCAAGGCGGUUUCUUAAGUCUGAUGUGAAAGCCCCCGGCUCAACCGGGGAAGGGUCAUUGGAAACUGGGAAACUUGAGUGCAGAAGAGGAGAGUGGAAUUCCACGUGUAGCGGUGAAAUGCGUAGAGAUGUGGAGGAACACCAGUGGCGAAGGCGACUCUCUGGUCUGUAACUGACGCUGAGGAGCGAAAGCGUGGGGAGCGAACAGGAUUAGAUACCCUGGUAGUCCACGCCGUAAACGAUGAGUGCUAAGUGUUAGGGGGUUUCCGCCCCUUAGUGCUGCAGCUAACGCAUUAAGCACUCCGCCUGGGGAGUACGGUCGCAAGACUGAAACUCAAAGGAAUUGACGGGGGCCCGCACAAGCGGUGGAGCAUGUGGUUUAAUUCGAAGCAACGCGAAGAACCUUACCAGGUCUUGACAUCCUCUGACAACCCUAGAGAUAGGGCUUUCCCUUCGGGGACAGAGUGACAGGUGGUGCAUGGUUGUCGUCAGCUCGUGUCGUGAGAUGUUGGGUUAAGUCCCGCAACGAGCGCAACCCUUGAUCUUAGUUGCCAGCAUUCAGUUGGGCACUCUAAGGCGACUGCCGGUGACAAACCGGAGGAAG